CCUACGUGAGGCAGCAGUGAGGAAUAUUGGUCAAUGGGCGCGAGCCUGAACCAGCCAAGUAGCGUGAAGGAUGACUGCCCUACGGGUUGUAAACUUCUUUUAUAAAGGAAUAAAGUGAGGCACGUGUGCCUUUUUGUAUGUACUUUAUGAAUAAGGAUCGGCUAACUCCGUGCCAGCAGCCGCGGUAAUACGGAGGAUCCGAGCGUUAUCCGGAUUUAUUGGGUUUAAAGGGAGCGUAGAUGGGUUGUUAAGUCAGUUGUGAAAGUUUGGGGCUCAACCGUAAAAUUGCAAUUGAUACUGGCAGUCUUGAGUACAGUUGAGGUAGGCGGAAUUCGUGGUGUAGCGGUGAAAUGCGUAGAUAUCACGAAGAACUCCGAUUGCGAAGGCAGCUUACUAAACUGCCACUGACAUUGAUGCUCGAAAGUGUGGGUAUCAAACAGGAUUAGAUACCCUAGUAGUC
rnacentral:rRNA from 1 species